CAGCUCUGCGACAAGCACUGUAACAAUAAGCAUAUUUAUGCAACGAUAAAAAUCAGCAAGCAGUUUCGUCUUGCCGCCCUUCUCGUCAGGGUGGGUGAGGGGGCUUGUAAUGUGUCCUAGCCUCCGCCGAGCCAGCUGCAUCAUCCUACCGAGGAGCCGCCGCGCCUGGCAGAGAAAGGCCGCCCAACGCCAUGGAAGGGGACACUUCAGUUCUCUUUAUUUCCAGUUUAUAGUACUGGUCCUGCAAGUCACAUCAGGUCAAUCUAUUUUAUCAAGAAACCAAAUAUUGUUACUCGGAGAAAGACAUUAGUGUAGCUUUGAUAGCAAUGACAACAUACCAUGAUUCCACCAGGGUCAACGGCUGAUAAUUAUGUGAUUGUUGUAUUUGUUGCCUAGCGAUGACCCUGUGAGCCGGUGCUUAUCUCAAUUUGAUGGGAUCUUGCAGUAGAUCUGAGAUAUUGUGAAAUUUGUCAACACAGAUGCUGGAUUAUUGAAAAUUAGUUGCACAGAUGGAUCAUUUGUGCUGUGUGUACCUUCCUAGAAUAGCUGCCGCUUCAGAAAUAGUUGGAUUUAUGUACCAUCGAGUUGCCAGACAGGACUUGAAGGCCAAGUUUCCUGUACAAAAAAUUUAACAGGUAAUUUUAAUUUCUUAUCUAAAUUGUGCAGGAUGGAUAUAAGAAGACGAUAAGUACAUACAUUAAAUUCAUGUACUGGCAUGCCAACAAAUAGAACUAUAAUGGGUUCUUGAGCAGACCACCGUUGUAGCUUUGUCUGCAUCAAGGGCAUCUGCUAAUUUUCCCCAAAACGUCACAACGGCAGGCAUU
rnacentral:lncRNA from 1 species